CUUCUUCUGUGACAGCUGUAGGGCUCGUCGGGGGAUUGAACCCAGGACCUCUCGCAUCCUAAGCGAGAAUCAUACCCCUUGAUUAACGAGCCCUGAAGAAAGACCCUGCUGUGCCAAAAAAAAAUCUUACUUUUUUAUAAAUACUUUUUGUUCUUGUUGUUUUUAGUAUGGGCCACCUGGGUUGCCUUUGAUGCAGUCCCUUUUAAGUUGGCUGUGCAGCACAAUCCACAAUAGCGAUCUGCUAAAAAGAUUCAGAGUGAGCUUCUGUUUAGAAUACAGUUAAAAGCAUCAGUCUGCAAUAUUAGAAAACCAGUAAAACAACUCAGGUGGACCUCUGGAAAAGCCAGGCUAUUUGCUUUAUACGAGCUUACAUGUCCUACAAAUUUAUUAAUAGGACAUACCCUAUUAAUAAACCGCCAUGUUGUGAACCCGAAAGCAAAGUAUCCAGUAAAAAUUCAUGUCUGGGGAGCCAUAUUCCGUCAGGGACCUGGACCGCUAGUUGUGUUAGAAGGAAUUAUGGACAGAUGUUUUUACGAAAACACUAUAAUAAAAUUCAAUCAGGCUCCAUACAUAAAACAACACUUUAAGAACCAUAUCACUUCUUCCAAGGUAGAUACAGUAUGUAGGCCUACUGUACCAACUGUG